rnacentral:rRNA from 1 species
AACAAACGCUGGCGGCGUGCCUAAUACAUGCAAGUCGAACGGGGAAAGCUUUCGGGUGAGUACUAGUGGCGCACGGGUGAGUAACGCGUGGAUAAUCUGCCUUAGAGUGGGGGAUAACUAGUCGAAAGAUUAGCUAAUACCGCAUAAGACCACAAGAACUGCGGUUCAAGGGGUCAAAGGUUUUUCGCUCUAAGAUGAGUCCGCGUAAGAUUAGCUAGUUGGUAGGGUAACGGCCUACCAAGGCGACGAUCUUUAACUGGUCUGAGAGGAUGAUCAGUCACACUGGAACUGAGACACGGUCCAGACUCCUACGGGAGGCAGCAGUAGGGAAUAUUGCACAAUGGAGGAAACUCUGAUGCAGCGACGCCGCGUGGAUGAUGAAGUAUCUCGGUACGUAAAAUCCUUUCGACAGGGACGAAACCGCAAGGUUGACGGUACCUGUAGAAGAAGCCCCGGCUAACUCCGUGCCAGCCGCCGCGUAACAC